AGACAUGGGAGUUGUUGGUGUAGUGAGAUCGCCCUAGUUUGGAAACCGCUGACAUUUAAAGGUGUCUUGGCGAUGGUGUUCAGAAACUACUUCUAAUCCAACCAAGAUGGGGUCUGAGCCGGAGAUGAGUGGUGCGACGGAUGGAGAGGUUUGGCCACCUAUUGCCAGUUGAUUAACAAAUAAGAUGGAACUUGAGUCGGUUCUGGGAUGAUGGCUUGGCCACUUCAGUCAUUGGCCCAGUGUUUGGAGCCAGUCUGUAGGCUCCUUGGAGACGGAGAACCCUGCAACCAGGUUCAGCAGAUGCUGGAAGGUGGACGUUCGGGGCGUUCACGUUAACCAUAACGUCACACGUGGCCUCAAUCCCGUGGCCAUGGCAGAUGUUUCUAAAAUGUCUGCCAUGGGCUUUCACUAAGGUGUCGGAUGGUGCUGACGCUGUUCCAUUAACACAGGAGCUAGACUUCUCCAGUGUCGAUCUGCCACACUGGCGUCCUCAAACCCAGAUCUGGACCAACAUGGUUACUCGUGAUUCCAGUGGCAUGUUACUAUUUGCGGAAGUUCAGGUCCCUGCAGCUGGAGGAAGAGUCAUCUCCAAAAUGGCUGACCCUUGGUCUGUGGAUUUGAUGUAAUACUGCUCUGCAAAUGAAGUGAUUCUGAAUAAAGCGGUUGUGUGAUAAUGCCUCAAAGAUUGGUACGCAUUUAUUCUGUCUGGUCCAAUAAUGUUAAAUCUUCAGUACUGCUUGUAAGCAGGUCCGUUUUAAAAUAUUUCAAGUGUUUAAUUCGAAAGCGGGCUUCCAGUAUGGGAUAUGCAUAUUAUUGGUUUAAUUUGGUGUUCCAACCUGUUAGGACUACGCUUUGCAACAGGUAGCAAGAGAUGUUAAGCUCAUUGGUAAAUUCUGGACCAUGCAGCUGGGGGAUAAAUAACUAGAUAUUUGUUUCUAUAAAUCUGUACACCUUUACAAAAUACUAUCUUUUAUGUAGAUGGAAAGAGUCAAGUUAGAAGUGAUAAUUGGAGCAAGAAGAUUACCGAUAUCUAGGAAACUCAAUACUUGGAAAUGUCAAAUGAACUGCAAUGAGUGCUGUAAAACGUUGAGCAAAAAUUGAGGUCCCCAUUUUAGCAUACAUUUAUUAAAAGCAACCAUUUCUGGUCUAAACAAGUCUCCACUCUGGGUUAAACAGUUGGCGGCAGCAAAGGCCACUUAAACAAACAUCACCAGUUAUCCCAACAAGACACGGCAACUUAAACGCGGCCAUCAAAGCCGACCGGGACCAAUCACGCAGACUGAGUUCGCCUCCACCUCAGUCGGCCGUGAAGACCCGGGCGGCGAUGUCGUCCAGGAGCCAGUCCACGCCGGACAGCAGGUUUUCCCCGGUGACGGCGCUGCAGCCCAUGAUGCACCAGUGGUGAGUCUUGAUGUCGUCCAGGCCCAUCGCCUGCACGGGAAGCACCAACACCUCAGUGACCUCACAGAUGGGGCGGCUACGUUAAGGCCGUGUUUAAAUUCUUAUGUCGAGGUUUCUUAAUUCUUUCUAUCCAAUCAUGGCGAUUAGCCAUACACAAAUGGAAACUAAUGAAUGUAAUUUUGUUUCAUGUGUUUUGGCAACUGAAAGUCAUUACGUGCGGCUCUGGGGCAGCUUUAGGGCUCUUUCUUGCCGUAGAAAAUGAAAAUCAAUAUAAGAAUGAGUUGCAAGGCAAACAUGACUUGAUCAAGGUGCUGCGGGAUCCCUGCUUCCUCCUGUGCACGUGUCUCACCUCUCCGAUCGCCUCUUUAGACAGAGCGCCCGGCAGGUCCUGUUUGUUGGCAAACACCAGCAGAGUGGCUCCGGCUAACCUCUGCAGGGACACGACCCAAAGUGCGGUUGGUAGUCAUUCGGAUUGGACAGUGACUUGUGUUAAAAAGUUGU